rfam:Lysinimicrobium mangrovi strain DSM 24868 genome assembly, contig: Ga0111703_110
UGGGCUAUGGUGUAACUGGCAGCACGACGGUUUCUGGUUCCGUUAGUUGAGGUUCGAAUCCUUGUAGCCCAG